rnacentral:rRNA from 1 species
CCGUGAUAACGUAGCAUAAUCAUUCGCCACCUAAUUAGUGGAUAGUAUGAAUGGUAAAACGAGUAUAACACUCUCUCAGAAGGAAGUUUUAUGAAAUUGGAGUGGUAGUCAAGAUACUACCUAAAACUGUAAGACGAAAAGACCCUAUAGAGCUUAACUAUACCUUUCUCACAAAAUUAAGUUCACUUAAGUUCCAGAAAGAUUGGUAGUUUAGUUGGGGCGACUGCUUUCUAGUAAAAACGAAAGCAAGCAAUAUUAAUUAUCUAAUUUACUGUCUAAUCCAUAUGUUUAACAGUUAUAAAAAUAGGCAAUAAUGACCCGUUAGUAAUAAAAAACACUACUAACGAACAAUAAAUAAAAGCUACCUUAGGGAUAACAGGAUAAUCUUGUUCUAGAGACCCUAUCGAAAACAAGGUUUGUCACCUCUAUGUUGAAUUAAGAUAUCCUAGAAGUGUAGAAGCUUCUGAGG